GACGAACGCUGGCGGCGUGCCUAACACAUGCAAGUCGAGCGAACAGACGAGGAGCUGGCGCCUCUGGCGGAAGCGGCGGACGGGAGAGUAACACGUGGAUAACCUACCUAGAAUACUGGGAUGACAUCGGGAAACCUGAGCUAAGACCGGAUAAUAUAUUGAACCUCAUGGUUCAAGAGUGUAAGGCGGUUGUGCGGUCACGUAGAGACUGAGCCGCGCCGCAUUAGCUAGUUGGUAAGGUAACGGCUUACCAAGGCGGCGAUGCGUAGCCCACCUGAGAGGGUGGUAGGCCACACUGGAAGUGAGACACGGACCAGACUCCUACGGUAGGCAGCAGUCGGGAAUCUUACGCAAUGGGGGAGAGCCUGACGGAGCAACGCGGCGUGAGUGAUGAAGGUGUUCGGAUCGUAAAACUCUGUUAUUAGGGGAGAACAAAUGUGUAAGUAACUGUGCCCGUCUUGACGGUACCUGAAGAAGAAGCCCCGGCUAACUACGUG
rnacentral:rRNA from 1 species